UGCCAUUUGCCUGGGAGCAGCUGCCAGACUCAGGCACACAAAAUCAAACACCUGAGCUCGAUGCGCCUACCUGCCUCAGUAUAAUCAUCUCUCGUGUAAAAAGCAAACACUUUGCCCUCCUCAAUUCCUUUCCCCUCCUCAUCUGUUGCGUAGGGUUCUCAUGAGAGGAGAAAAAUCCCACAAAUCCGGUCCAUGGGGGCGAUGGCUGCAGACGAGAUUUCACUCUGGCAUGUAGAUCUGGAGGUUAGCUGCUUCUUUCAUCGCUGAAAUCCAGUGGUAGCUACUCCUAUUGUUCCUCUCGUUCUUUUCCUCUUCCUAGAUCCUGCCUCAUUCAGCAAAUUGGACUUCACCAAAGCUUUGUUUGCAACAAUCUGGUGCAGCUAGGUGAGAACAAGAUCCCCUUUUGUAGUCUUGUUUCCCCUUGCUUUAGUUCCUUACAAAUCAAGAUCUGUACAGACUAUGCAUGCGCAGGUGGCUUAGUAUUAGAGCAGAGUAUGCAUGCAGGUGUUUAGUACUAAUAAAACAUCUUGAUCUAGCAUUGUAGAACUAUGCUUUUUGAGUUUGCAACUUGGUUACAUUUCAUAAUCUUUGUCAUGGUUUUGAUUUCAGAUAAGUUAAUAGAAAAUACUAAUGUCUCAAUAGUUUAAAGUGUGAUGAAACUCUAUGUUAUCCUUUCUAAAAUGAGUUUCUUAUUUAUUUCUAUCAUCUAAUUCUCAAAUGGAUGUAGAACAUGCUAAUCAUAUUAUACAACAACGAACUCAAACUUUAGGUGUUCUAGCUGUUGUAUUGGCUAUUAUCUGAUGGUGACGACGUAUGCCUAAUCGUAGUAGAUGGUCUCCAAGGAAAUAUGCUCCGUUGGUGGAUAGGGAUUUGGUAAGAAAAACAAAGUUAGAUGAGUUGUACAAAAGUACCGAUACAAAUUGUAUCAAUCAGCUCAGGAUGAGGAAAGAUGUGUUUUGGAAGCUUUCCUCACAAUUACGUGAUGCUAGUCUACUAUGUGACACAAUGCAUGUCUCGAUUGAAGAACAUUUAGCUAUGUUCUUGCACACAGUUGGCGACAAUUUGAGAAAUCGUGUGAUUGGAUUGCUUGUCAAGAGAUCUAGUGAAAUAGUUAGUCGAUACUUCAACGAGAUCUUGAAAGCUUUAUGCUAUCUCGCCAAGGAUAUGAUAAAGCUUAGGUUUGUAGAGACCCAUGCAAAGAUAACUAGAAGCCCCGGGCGAUUCUACCCCUAUUUUAAGGUAUCUCUUGUUACAUUUGUUUUAUAUUCUAAUUCUCAUCCCUAAGUCAUUUGAAUAGUAACAACUUUUUCCAUAGGAUUGCAUCGGGGCACUUGACGGCACCCACAUCCUUGCAUUUAUCCAUGAUAACAUAGUUAACAUGUUUAGAGGCCAUAAGUCCUAUGCAACUCAAAAUGUGCUCGUUGUCGUAGAUUUUGAUUUGAGGUUUACCUAUGUGCUUGCUAGAUGAGAGGGUUUGGCGCAUGACUCGGUAGUGCUCAAGGCUGCCCUCAAAAGAUAAAAUGGAAUUCCAAUGCCUAAAGGCAAAUACUACUUAGUUGAUGCCGGUUAUGCAACAAGACCUGGUAUACUACCACCAUAUAGAGGUGUUCGGUACCACUUGAAGGAGUGUGAAGGAGGGAGAGAACCACACACACCACAAGAGUUGUUCAAUCACAGGCAAGAUGUUCUUCCUGUAUAAAGUCCAAGUCAAGAUUGUGAUAUCAUGUUAUGUGCUACACAAUUGGAUCCUUGAUAAUGGUCUUGACAACAUCGUAUAUGAUGAAGCUCAUUGGUAUAGUUCAUUGCCUAGGUCAUCUAGAUUAGCUUCAGUCAAGGAGAUGAGAAUAGGCAAUGGGGGGCAAAACGGGAUCAUCUAGCUGACUUGAUGUGGAGGGAACGCUAAUAUUCUCUUUGUUCUAAUUUGUAAAAUUAAUUCAGCAUGUGUAUGCCACCAUUCUCUUGUGUUGUAUGACAUGUAAGACUUAUGCUUCAGUUAACCAUGAUACUUACCUAUUUGUUG